UGGAUUGUGUGGGUAUAUACAUAAAAUAAAAUUUGAAAUGAGCGUAUAUGAGAAAAAGUGUUUGUAGCAUUUAUUGAGGAAAAAAUAGUAGAAAAUCAUUUAAGAUGUUUGGACAUGUACAAAGAAGACUAUAGGAGGCCCUAGUGAGGAGAGUGAAAUAAAUAAUUUUGAACUUUGUUAAGAGGGGUAGAGGAAGGCCAAAGGAAACACUUAUGGAAGUUGUUGAUUGAUAUCUCUUAAUUAAAGACAUUCCUAAAAACUUUGUAAAUGAUAGAGCACAAUGGCAUUGUAAUCCAUAGUUGACCCCAUUUAAUAAGAUUGACUUGCAUUUAUUUCAUGAAUGGUCACUUAAUUGAAUCUGGUUUUCAUUGAUUAUCAAUGCUAUCAAUGCCUUCAAUCUGCUUUUUUCUUUUUCUUUUUUUCUUUUUUUUGUACACUUAAUAUUGCAAAUGUUUUCUUGAAAAAUCUUAGUAAAAUACUUUCUACUUUACUAGCCUUAAGGAGAAAUAGACUCGUAUUUGUUUUGGCAUCAAAGCUCAUGGUGUAAUAACCUGAUGGUGUUACUUUGUGUUCUAAAUUUUAGCCUAACAUCUACUGAUUUGUAUUUUCUUCUAUCAUGUUUUAUUGGUUUCUUCUAGAUUUUUAAGCUCACUCUAAAUUAAUUGUUGGACUUGCAGCAAUAGCAAGCAUAUUAUUCCUGCGAGAGAUAAUCUUACUAGGCAAGGGGUCGCCUCCCAUAACUCGGUUCACUACUUUGAUCAGCGGUGCAGUGGCGGCAUUUUAUGUCUACAGAUUGGUACUGGAACGCAAACCACUUGGGGACUCAAACCUGGGAACUGGACCGGGAAAUUAGUUUAAUCACGUAAGGUUGACAUUUUGAUGUUCAUUGUAAUUCGCUAUACAAAGAUAUGUUUCUUACACAAAAUGCCGGUCAGAUGUCUGCAGAUGUCUUUUAUGGUGUUUGUUGGUGUUGGUGUUGCUUUAAUUUUUCAUUUGCCACUCAGUGGCAGAAGAUCUGCUUGAAAAAUAAAAAUGUCAGGGUAAAUUUCUUUUUUCGUAAAAAAAAAAAAAACCGGGAGGGAUGGAAGAGCAGAUUUUUAUGUUUAUUUAUAGUUUAAUUUGUUACUGCGGUUGUUCCAGAAUGAAUUCCUGUAUGAAAUAUAAGACUUGAAGAAUCUUGAUCGAAUCUGAUAAUUAAUCUCAAGUUGUAGGGGGCAAUUUUUGGUUCUCUGUCUUCAA